UACGUAGGGUCCGAGCGUUGUCCGGAUUUAUUGGGCGUAAAGAGCUCGUAGGCGGUUUCGUAAGUCGGAUGUGAAAACUCAGGGCUCAACCCGGAGACGCCAUCCGAUACUGCGAUGACUGGAGUCUGGUAGGGGAUCACGGAAUACCUGGUGUAGCGGUGAAAUGCGCAGAUAUCAGGUGGAACACCGAUGGCGAAGGCAGUGAUCUGGGCCAGUACUGACGCUGAGAAGCGAAAGCGUGGGGAGCGAACAGG
rnacentral:rRNA from 1 species